AUUGAACGCUGGCGGCAGGCCUAACACAUGCAAGUCGAGCGGAUGAAGGGAGCUUGCUCCUGGAUUCAGCGGCGGACGGGUGAGUAAUGCCUAGGAAUCUGCCUGGUAGUGGGGGAUAACGUCCGGAAACGGGCGCUAAUACCGCAUACGUCCUGAGGGAGAAAGUGGGGGAUCUUCGGACCUCACGCUAUCGGAUGAGCCUAGGUCGGAUUAGCUAGUUGGUGGGGUAAAGGCCUACCAAGGCGACGAUCCGUAACUGGUCUGAGAGGAUGAUCAGUCACACUGGAACUGAGACACGGUCCAGACUCCUACGGGAGGCAGCAGUGGGGAAUAUUGGACAAUGGGCGAAAGCCUGAUCCAGCCAUGCCGCGUGUGUGAAGAAGGUCUUCGGAUUGUAAAGCACUUUAAGUUGGGAGGAAGGGCAGUAAGUUAAUACCUUGCUGUUUUGACGUUACCGACAGAAUAAGCACCGGCUAACUUCGUG
rnacentral:rRNA from 1 species